UUKGAGGGCAAGUCUGGUGCCAGCAGCCGCGGUAAUUCCAGCUCCAAUAGCGUAUAUUAAAGUUGUUGCAGUUAAAAAGCUCGUAGUUGAAUUUCGAGAUCAGUACGCUGGUCGUGCCUUCGGUAUGCACUGGUGUCACUGGUUUCUCCCUUCUGAAGAACCGUCAUGUCAUUAAGUUGGUGUGGCGGGGAAUCAGGACUGUUACUUUGAAAAAAUUAGAGUGUUUAAAGCAGGCUCYCGCUUGAAUACAUUAGCAUGGAAUAAUGAAAUAGGACGUUUGACCCUAUUUUGUUGGUUUCUAGGAUCGACGUAAUGAUUAAUAGGGAUAGUUGGGGGCAUUAGUAUUCAAUUGUCAGAGGUGAAAUUCUUGGAUUUAUUGAAGACUAAYUACUGCGAAAGCAUUUGCCAAGGAUGUUUUCAUUAAUCAAGAACGAAAGUUAGGGGAUCGAAGACGAUCAGAUACCGUCGUAGUCUUAACCAUAAACUAUGCCGACUAGGGAUCGGAUGAUGUUAAUUUUUUAAUGACURAUUCGGCGCCUUACGGGAAAC
rnacentral:rRNA from 1 species